GGAAGUAAAAGUCGUAACAAGGUUUCCGUAGGUGAACCUGCGGAAGGAUCAUUACUGAUUUAGCGAACCAAGCAUUAGCGAGGUUUUGCGAUCAAUUUAUAUUUAAAACCCACUCUUUAAUGUAUAAAAUUUGUAUUAAUGAUAAAUUAAAAGAUCACUUUCAACAACGGAUCUCUUGGCUCUCGCAUCGAUGAAGAACGUAGCGAAGUGCGAUAAGUAAUGUGAAUUGCAGUAUUCCGUGAAUCAUCGAACCUUUGAACGCAUAUUGCACUUUCUGGUAUUCCGGAAAGUAUGCCUGUUUGAGGGUCAGUUAAAUAAAAAUCGGUGUUGUUGCCGCUUUCCGUGGUGACGCGUCGGAAUUGAGUCGUCUUCGGUUAAGUGACUUAAAAUUUUGUAUGAUUUUUGAACGUAUUUAAAUUUAUUUGUACGUUUGAGAUAUCGAAUGUUUAUUAGGUUCGGUCAUUCUAAUGACUCGCGCCUAUAGUUUUUCAUUAAAUGACCUCAAAUCAGGUAAGAAUACCCGCUGAACUUAAGCAUAUCAAUAAGCGGAGGA
rnacentral:rRNA from 1 species